AUAACACCUACACAAGAAAACAACCGUCAUUAGAAAGCCAACCACUAAACCCACCUAAAGGCUGGGACAAUAUAAGCACUAAAACCUAUUGAAGUGAACAAAUAUAAGGAGCUGGCAUUUCUUCAUGUUUAGUGGAGUUUAUGUCUACAAAAUAUGGCUGACAUGUGCCGCAGGACUCUAGCAUGACAGUCCCACUGCUCGCUGCCGUGACGAGGAACCUAGUCUGUAGUUACCAGUGACUCACCAUUGGUGUCUGCUUUGACUUUCUCUUCCUUGAUCUGCAAACUGCUCAUCUGAGUAAGAAUAAAAGAAAACAGUAAGCCAAAGACCCAACCAAGGAAGGCAGCCGGAUGCCUGGUAAGAGGUUAGCGACACUACUGCAGAGCUGGCUGGGAGCGGGUUCGUUGUACUCAAUACAGAAGCACUAAGGGCCGGGCAUAACCAUCUCAUGUUUCCUUCCUCAGCAGCAGAAGCAGAGGAGGUGGGCAUGGGUUAACCAUGAUGCUAUGGGGACACAAACUUCAAAAAAACUUCAAACAUUUGCUUUUCUUCUAACUUACACUUUUUCUAGAAGGUCUCCAAGGUUCUGUUUGCUUGUCUGGGUUUGUGAAACCAGGGUCAAACCCUGGACACAAAACAAACUGGGUAACUGUGCUGCCACUAUGCCAUGUUCCAACCUCUUUAACCCCAAACUUAAAUAACAGCAAGUUAUCUAUCCUGCCUACCCAACCAAACACCUGCAUGUAAGUUAGGUUAAAAUGCAUCAUAAUAAGCUGAGGGCAGCUAAACAGGCCUUUAUCGAUAACAGUACUUGAGAGAUGGAGGCAGGAAGAUCAGAAGUUGAGGAUCAGGAUGAGACUUACGAAUUUCACAGUCAUAGUCAUAGGUAUUUUAAUAACAUAUAAUUGCUCAGAGUGUGGUCUGAAGGUGGUAUGACAAUCUUGAUUGUCAACUUGAUGGUACGUACAAUGGAAGACAAACUCCUGAAAGGUUAACCCGAGGUAGGAAGACCUACACUGUAAUUUGGGCAGCACCUUUCCCAGUCCAGGACUGAAUGAGGACUGAAUGAAGCAGCACCAGCAGCUCUCCUCCUGACUUGAGGAUACGGCGUGCUUUCCAGCACCAUGCCUUCCACCAUUACAGACCAUGUGCCCUUCUUAAAAUGGGAGCCAAAAAUACUAUGGGGGGGGGGCGGGGGGGGUUCCUAUGACAGGGCUCUCUGUAUAGCCUUGGGUGUUCUAGAACUCACCAGGUAGACCAGGCUGACCUCAAACUCAGAUAUCCACCUGCCUCUGCCUCCUGAGUGCUGGACUAAAGGCGUGCACCACCACUCUUAAACUCUUGUUCUUGUCAUGGAUUUGUAUCUUGCAUCAACAAAGACAAAUGCAACUACGACAAAUGAUUUAUGUUCCCAGAGCCCUGGGUCUGUCCCCCAGAUCCCUAAGUUAACAUCGUGGGUUACUGGUUUAGAGACAGGGUCUUGUACAUAGCCCUGGCUGUCCUUGAACUCAGAGAUCCACCUGCUUCAGCUUCCCAAGUGCUGAAAUUAAGUGUGAACCAACACACCUGUACUGGUGUGCUGGUACUCUUCCUAGAGGCACUGUACUGAUCUCGCUUGUACUUGACAGUGGUAUUGUCCCCCCAACUUGCCCUCUCUGACUGACCUACUGUAGGUCUUUGAGAAAUGGAGAUGCACACUCUCAUGUGUAUUACUGACUUCCUAUUGCUGUGACGAAACAGCAUAACCAGGACAACUUACAGAAGACUUCACUUGGGCUUGUGGUUCUACAGUUAUUCUAGGGAUAAGAGUCCACGAUGGCAGAGCAAAGGCACAGCAACUGAGAUCAGACGCUGAAGGCUCGAAUCUUUAACUGUAUCGAAAUAAGGCAAUUUCUGUUCACAAGGCCUGCCUCUAGGGACAUACUUCCUCCAGCAAAGCCAAAGCUCCUAAGACUCCCCAAACAGCAGCACCAACUGGGGACCAAGUGUUAAAAUGUCUAAGUCUACGGGGAACAUCUCAUCUAGACCACCACAACAGUAAAAGAGUUUAGGAGGGGCUGGUGAGAUGGCUCAGCAGGUAAGAGCACCCGACUGUUCUUCUGAAGGUCCUGAGUUCGGAUCCCAGCAACCACAUGGUGGCUCACAACCAUCCCUAAUGAGAUCUGACUCCCUCUUCUGGUGUGUCUGAAGACAGCUACAGUGUACUUGCAUAUAAUAAAUAAAUAAAUCUUUAAAAAAAAAAAAAAAAGAGUUUAGGAACCAGGUUUUCUAGAGAAAAAGCAGGUGAACACACUUUCUCCUUUAAUGGCAGAGAGGUCAUGAGAAAGCAAGCAGACCUGGGGAUGCAUCACACAGCAGAACUUUUCAUUGGUUGGUUAGUCCUCAUUUAUGCACAUGGAUCAGCAGAAAUAUACAUUGGAAUGGUCUGAACAUUUAAGACCAUCUGGAGUUUCCUAAUUCAACCACAUUAAAGUAGCCUCCAGAAGGCCUGAUGAAAGAAAACAAAACAAAACAAAAAAACCAAAAAAAAAACGAAGCAAGUCCAUUAAACCAUGAUUGGUUACAAAUGUGUUAACACACAGCUCUCUCGAGAGUGAAGAGUAACCCAUAGCUAGGAACGGCCAGUCAAUAAACAGCCUGGCAUCCUUUGUUCUGGAUUCACUGGCCACACACAGACCCUGAUGAUUAAUCCUGCCUCUCUGAACAGGAAAUGUUCACAACUCUGUGUGGUGAAUGGUAAGACAGGAAGAUUACUGGAUUCCAGGGGUUUGAAGCCAGUCUGGACAUCAAAGUGAGAUCCUCUUCUCAAAACAUGUAAUUACACCAGGCAUGGUGGCACACACCUGUAGUCCCAGCACUCAGGAGGCAGAGGCAGGUGCGUCUCUGAGUCUACAGAGCAAAUUCCAAGAUACCCAGGGCUACACACAGAAUUAAAUUGAAGAAAAAAAAUUCAGUCACUAUGUCUUAGGAAUAAUCACUAGAUUUGAAACUUCAGAUGGGGUUCAUAAGAUGGCCUGACAAACUGGAGGAAGAGAACCUACCCUCACAAGCUACCUCCUGACCUCCACACAUGAAUGCGGCACAUCCAUGUUCAAAAUACGAGGAUAUACACAAAGCAAAUCCAAAUAACUUUUAAAAACAAAGAAUAAGGAGAGCUUCUUAAGAAAAUCAACUGCUGGAUCACAGGGCUCCCAAUGGAGGAGCUAGAGAAAGUACCCAAGGAGCUAAAGGGAUCUUCAACCCUAUAGGU